rnacentral:rRNA from 1 species
AGAGUUUGAUCCUGGCUCAGGAUGAACGCUAGCUACAGGCUUAACACAUGCAAGUCGAGGGGCAGCAUCAUCAAAGCUUGCUUUGAUGGAUGGCGACCGGCGCACGGGUGAGUAACACGUAUCCAACCUGCCGACAACACUGGGAUAGCCUUUCGAAAGAAAGAUUAAUACCGGAUGGCAUAGUUUUCCCGCAUGGGAUAAUUGUUAAAGAAUUUCGGUUGUCGAUGGGGAUGCGUUCCAUUAGGCAGUUGGCGGGGUAACGGCCCACCAAACCAACGAUGGAUAGGGGUUCUGAGAGGAAGGUCCCCCACAUUGGAACUGAGACACGGUCCAAACUCCUACGGGAGGCAGCAGUGAGGAAUAUUGGUCAAUGGACGAGAGUCUGAACCAGCCAAGUAGCGUGAAGGAUGACUGCCCUAUGGGUUGUAAACUUCUUUUAUACGGGAAUAAAGUUAGCCACGUGUGGCUUUUUGUAUGUACCGUAUGAAUAAGGAUCGGCUAACUCCGUGCCAGCAGCCGCGGUAAUACGGAGGAUCCGAGCGUUAUCCGGAUUUAUUGGGUUUAAAGGGAGCGUAGGCGGGUUGUUAAGUCAGUUGUGAAAGUUUGCGGCUCAACCGUAAAAUUGCAGUUGAUACUGGCGACCUUGAGUGCAACAGAGGUAGGCGGAAUUCGUGGUGUAGCGGUGAAAUGCUUAGAUAUCACGAAGAACUCCGAUUGCGAAGGCAGCUUACUGGAUUGUAACUGACGCUGAUGCUCGAAAGUGUGGGUAUCAAACAGGAUUAGAUACCCUGGUAGUCCACACAGUAAACGAUGAAUACUCGCUGUUGGCGAUAUACAGUCAGCGGCCAAGCGAAAGCAUUAAGUAUUCCACCUGGGGAGUACGCCGGCAACGGUGAAACUCAAAGGAAUUGACGGGGGCCCGCACAAGCGGAGGAACAUGUGGUUUAAUUCGAUGAUACGCGAGGAACCUUACCCGGGCUUAAAUUGCAACUGACUGAACCGGAAACGGUUCUUUCUUCGGACAGUUGUGAAGGUGCUGCAUGGUUGUCGUCAGCUCGUGCCGUGAGGUGUCGGCUUAAGUGCCAUAACGAGCGCAACCCUUAUCGAUAGUUACUAGCAGGUCAUGCUGAGGACUCUAUUGAGACUGCCGUCGUAAGAUGUGAGGAAGGUGGGGAUGACGUCAAAUCAGCACGGCCCUUACGUCCGGGGCUACACACGUGUUACAAUGGGGGGUACAGAAGGCAGCUACACGGCGACGUGGUGCUAAUCCCGAAAGCCUCUCUCAGUUCGGAUUGGAGUCUGCAACCCGACUCCAUGAAGCUGGAUUCGCUAGUAAUCGCGCAUCAGCCACGGCGCGGUGAAUACGUUCCCGGGCCUUGCACACACCGCCCGUCAAG